GGUGAUUUCUAACUUUCACAUGAGCCUUCUCUUUACCCAUGUAUCGGUUUAUUAUCAUUAUUUAACGCUUCUUAUUACAUAGAAGAUUCAGGAAGAUAUUUUAUCAUCACCGAAAACAGAGAGAAUCUGAAUUUGAUUUAUCCUGAUAUGCAAAAGUUAACAGCUGACAAUAAUGAAGCAUUCAAUAUGCAUGGUAUCAGAUUUCUUUUAUCCCAACAUGGGAGGAGUAGAGAGCCACAUCUAUCAGUUGUCGCAGUGUGUGUUAGAGCGAGGCCAUAAAGUGGUGGUCGUGACUCAUGCUUAUGGUGAAAAGAGAGGAGUGCGGUACCUGAGCAAUGGAUUGAAGGCAUACUAUCUUCCAUUUACUCCAUUUUAUAAUCAGUGUAUCCUGCCAACUAUAUUUACCACAUUCCCUCUGCUGAGAAACAUAUUCAUCAGGGAGCAAAUAACUAUUGUACAUGGACAUUCAGCUUUUUCAACUUUAGCCCAUGAGGCAAUGUUUCAUGCCAGCACCAUGGGCCUGAGGACUGUUUUUACUGACCACUCAUUGUUUGGCUUUGCUGAUGCUAGCUCCAUACUGACCAACAAAGUCCUUCAGUUCUCUCUGUCUGAAACAAACCAUGUCAUAUGUGUCUCACAUACAAGUAAAGAGAACACAGUCCUAAGAGCCAGCAUAAGACCUCAGGUUGUAUCAGUGAUACCUAAUGCAGUGGAUGGGACAAUGUUCACUCCAGAUCCAACCCAGAGACCCAAAGAUAAAAUGAACAUUGUGAUGGUCAGUAGGCUGGUGUAUAGGAAGGGCAUGGACCUUUUGGCAGCGGUCAUCCCACAGAUCUGCUCCAUGCACCCGGAUGUGCAGUUCAUCAUAGGUGGAGAGGGUCCAAAAAGAAUAGUUCUAGAAGAAAUGAGGGAAAGCAAUGAUCUGCAUGAUAGAGUCCAUCUUCUUGGAGCUAUUAACCAUAAAGAUGUCAGAAAUGUGCUUGUACAGGGAGACAUUCUGAUCAACACAUCCCUCACUGAGGCCUUCUGCAUUGCUAUAGUGGAGGCAGCCUGUUGCGGGUCAGUAAGUCACCAAAAAAAUCACAGCAAUAAUUGAUAACUUGUCAAAAAAAUAUCAAAGUCUGCUAUGUAAUUUCAGCACAAUACAGUUUUUGAACUUUAUAAUGUGUCAGUAUUUGACAGAGUCUGAACUACUUAUUUUGGGGAGAACUGCCAAUUUGUUACGUAAUAUAAUGUGAACAGUUUUGGUAGAAAGAUAUAUCUGUUUGACGUGCGGACAGCUGUAACAGAUGAUGAUUGCAUACAAUUUGGAAUACUUUUCACACUGCAGAAUUUCAAGCUCAAUAGGCACAUAAAUACACAGUUCUUUCAUAUUAUUCAUGUACUUGCAUUUUUACUUUACAUGUUGUCAAGGUUGUCAGUUGUCAGUACUCGAGUUGGAGGAACACCAGAAGUUCUCCCUCCUGACCUUGUAUAUUUCUCAGAACCCAGUGUCAAAGAUUUGGUUCAUACGUUGAACAGAGCAAUAGAAGACAGGAAAAGAGGAAAAUUUGUUCCCCCUUUUGAAGCUCACGAGAGGAUUAAAAAGAUUUACACCUGGAGAGAUGUAGCCAAGCGGACAGAAAUUGUCUACAACAGUGUGAUGAAUAAAGUACCAAAUGACUCAGGAGAAAGACUUGCAAGUUUCUACAAGUGUGGCCCUCUGUCAGGGAAGCUCUUUGUGAUUGCUGCUGUUUUGAACAUGUUUCUGCUUUGGGUAUUAGAAACAUUUUGGCAACCAAGAGAGGAUAUUGAAAAUACAACAGAUCUGAAGCCAUUACAGAACUUCAGAUUUAGAAGACCAAGCAAAGAAGAGAGGACCACUAAUGACAGUCAUAUGACUUAACUUAGUGCUACUGUUGCUAUCAAUACAUACCGUAUACAUGUAACAUUGAAAGUGAUUACCUGAGCUCUGUUUGUGAUCAACAAAGUUCUAAAAAAGGAGAAAAUCAAAAUAAAACACACAAUGCAUGUGCAACUCAAUAAUGUAUUGAACUGAACAUUUCUCAUGAUCUGAGGUCAGGAAAUGCAUUUGUUUUGAAUAUAUUAUAUAAUACAUUUGUUACAUUUGUAUAAUUUUUUGAAUAAACAUUUUUGAAUUUU
rnacentral:misc_RNA from 1 species